rnacentral:lncRNA from 1 species
CCGCCCGCCGCUGCCUCCUCCGCGCCCGCCGCUCGCCUCCUGCGCGCCCGCCGACGCCGCUCUCCGGAGCCGUUCCGCCGCCGCCGCUCCGCUCGCGCGCGGCUGCGCCCGCCACCACCUCCUCCCGCCACCGCCGCUCGCUCGCCGCCGCCUCCUCCCGCCGGCGCCGCUUUCCAGAGCCGCUCGCGCGCGGCUGAGCCCGCCGCCGCCUCCUCCCACCGGCGCCGCUCGCCGGAGCCGCUCCGCUCGCGCGCCGCUGUGCGCCCGACGCCACCGCCUCCCACCGGAGCCGCCUGCUUCCCUGCUCGCGUCGCGACGAAGAGGAAGGAGAGCUGGGGUCUGCUCACACCGCCACUGCCACCGCCUCGCCUCCCUCUAAAGCUGAUUUGUGAUUUGCGAUUUGUGAUCCCUGAUUUUGUGGAUCUGGGAAUUGAGAAUAUGGAUAGAAAAGGGAAGGAUGGUCCAUCCCUGCCAAAGGUGCUAAUUUUUGUUUGCAUCCAUGGAGUUAGGUUUAUAUCUAUUUUCGCAUUGCAUUUACAUGGAAUUAGAAUGAGGAGUAUUGAAAGAAGAAAGAUGGUGGUGAAUCAUGGGGCAGCGUCGAGGAACAUACAGACCAAGAAUCUUGAUCGUGGUAUGUCAAUUCAUGAUUAUUACUCUCCUGAUUUGGAGGUUGUUUCCCUUAGUUGAUCAAUGCAUG